rnacentral:misc_RNA from 1 species
AACAUUUAGAAACGGAUCUCUUGGUUCUGGCAUCGAUGAAGAACGCAGCGAAAUGCGAUAAGUAAUGUGAAUUGCAGAAUUCAGUGAAUCAUCGAAUCUUUGAACGCACAUUGCGCCCUCUGGUAUUCCGGGGGGCAUGCCUGUUCGAGCGUCAUUACAACCCUCAAGCUCUGCUUGGUGUUGGGCCUCGCCGGUUCCGGCGGGCCUCAAAAUCAGUGGCGGUGCCAUCUGGCUUCAAGCGUAGUAAUUCUUCUCGCUUCAGGAGACCCAGGUGUGUGCUUGCCAGCAACCCCCAACUUCUAUGGUUGACCUCGGAUCAGGUAGGGAUACCCGCUGAACUUAAGCAUAUCAAUAAGCGGAGGCU